rnacentral:tRNA from 2 species
CGCUGAGAAGCUAAACAGGGUCAAGCGUUAGCCUUUUAAGCUAAACGAUGGUGCCUCCCAACCACCCUCAGCGA